rnacentral:rRNA from 1 species
UACGUAGGCAGCAAGCGUUGUUCGGAGUUACUGGGCGUAAAGGGUGCGUAGGCGGCUUUUUAAGUUUGGCGUGAAAUCUCCCGGCUCAACUGGGAGGGUGCGCCGAAUACUGAGAGGCUAGAGUGUGGGAGAGGAAAGUGGAAUUCCUGGUGUAGCGGUGAAAUGCGUAGAUAUCAGGAGGAACACCGGUGGUGUAAACGGCUUUCUGGACCAUAACUGACGCUGAUGCACGAAAGCGUGGGUAGCAAACAGG